rnacentral:snRNA from 10 species
AUCGCUUCUCGGCCUUUUGGCUAAGAUCAAGUGUAGUAUCUGUUCUUAUCAGUUUAAUAUCUGAUACGUCCUCUAUCCGAGGACAAUAUAUUAAAUGGAUUUUUGGAGCAGGUUCCCCCCGCACCUGGCACACCCAGAUCAGCACCAGCAACCUGUACCUGCC